rnacentral:lncRNA from 1 species
GUAUUUCCGCCGGCGCGAAACGAGCGUAGCUUCCUUGUCGUGUGGCCUCAGUCCUUCGCCGUCCCUCGCCGUCCUUCGCCAUCGCACGCCACCGCACCCCAUCUCUCGAAAUCUGCAGACAUCUUGAUUUUUCCCACGCUGUCUGUCAGGUCUCCGCCGCCACUCGACGCCAGGGCGCCGGGUGAGUCCACAGCAGGGCGCAUGGUCGGCUCCACUCUCACCAUCGGGGGAAACUGAGGCCCCGGGGAAGGCGGCCAGAGAGGUCAGGCCCUGUCCUUGGUGCAGUGUCUCGUCCUCUUUGCCGGAGUGAGCCCCCCAGGAUUCGCGUGUCCUCGGGAAAGACACUGGCAGGCCUUGUGGGCUGUGCUGCACCUCGGACGGCUUCGCACCAGCCAGCGCCCUCUCUCUCCUGCAGCACUCUGAUCUGCACCCCCUGAGGGGCUUCCACUGUCCGCGGGGUGAGAAUGCCCCUGGGAGUGUCACAUGACUGCCGCCCCAUGUGUGUGAGAGGCGUCCUCUGGGAGAGCAUGGAUCCUGAGGUCCCAGGAACAUCCCGAGAGCCAAGUUCCCAGAUGCCAGCCAAGGGCCAUCUGACCUGUUUUGAAUCUCAAUUUCCUGAUACAGAAAACAAAGGAUUGUCAGCUGACCUCUGUCCUGUGUGCCCAGUGGCCCCAGGUGACGUGUCUUCAAGAAGAGGCUGAGCUGCGGUGCUUGUAAGAGUCAUGUGCUGUUCCUGGGGCUUGGAUGAUGUAGGGGAAGCAAGGUGAAAGUGGUAUCCCGUGGUUCCACGUUCUGUCCUGCUGUGGGGCUGUCCCUCACAUGCUUUCAGUGGCUGUUGCAGAGGAAGAGCCUCCGGAAAUCUGCGUGGGUCUCAGCCUUAGAUCCAAGGACAGUCCAAGGAAGUCCUAAGACCAUGGAGUUGGUGAUCUGGGAUCUGGGUUUGCUGAUAUUUCUCACCGUGAAUCUCUUGGUGGUGUUUGUGGGCACGAGAGGGGCAGAGAAUGGAGAGUGAGGCUACCACAUGAAGCGUCACCAGAGCUGCUCCCUGCUGCCUGCUCAGAGCACCCCGGAUCCACUGUUCAAUCUGCACAAGAUUCGGGGUCCAGACAUGGGAGACUUCAGCUGCCUCAGAGGACCGUGGACAGGGAAGGCCAGCCUCGCAUCCCUCUGUCCAUGCCUGGAAUGACUUUAAUAACCAAGAGUUUUAUUUUUGAAUUUGUAGCUGUCGUUCACUUUUUACCCACCCAUUCAAUAAACCUUACAGAAUUGCUCCA